rnacentral:rRNA from 1 species
UUAAUAGUAAAAUCUGCUCAAUGAACAUAUAAAUAGCCGCAAUACUGUGCCAAGGUAGCAUAAUCAUUUGUCUUUUAAAUAAAGUCUAGAACAAAAGAUUUAACAUUUUAACUCUUAUAUCAAAUUAAAUAAUCUAAAUUAUUUUAAAAGUAAAAAAACUUUUAUACAAAAGAUAGACGAUAAGACCCUGUUAAACUUCACUUUAGUUUUACUGGGGUAGUAAAUUAUUUAUGAUUUUAAUAAAAAUAUCAUUAAAAACAUUCUUAAUAUUGAUAAUUCAGUUACUACAGGGAUAACAGCGUAAUUAUUUUUUAAAGACCUUAUAUUAAAAAUAGAUUACGACCUCGAUGUUGAAUUAAUAUUCUAAUUAAAGCAAGAUUUAAAAAAGAAAGUCUGUUCGACUUUUAAACAGUUACAUGAUUUGAGUUCAGACCGGUACAAGCCAGGUCGGUUUCCAUCUUCUAAAAACAUUUUUGUAGUACGAAAGGACCUAAAAAUAUAAUAUUAUUAUUAAAUUGGCAGAACAAUGCAUUAGAAUUAGAAUCUAAUUAACUAUAA